rnacentral:tRNA from 2 species
CGGUUAGCUCAGUGGUAGAGCGCCUGCCUUACAAGCAGGUGGUCAUAGGUUCAAAUCCUAUACCGC